rnacentral:rRNA from 1 species
GAUGAACGCUGGCGGCGUGCCUAAUACAUGCAAGUCGAGCGAACGGACGAGAAGCUUGCUUCUCUGAUGUUAGCGGCGGACGGGUGAGUAACACGUGGAUAACCUACCUAUAAGACUGGGAUAACUUCGGGAAACCGGAGCUAAUACCGGAUGAUAUUUUGAACCGCAUGGUUCAAUAGUGAAAGACGGUUUUGCUGUCACUUAUAGAUGGAUCCGCGCCGCAUUAGCUAGUUGGUAAGGUAACGGCUUACCAAGGCAACGAUGCGUAGCCGACCUGAGAGGGUGAUCGGCCACACUGGAACUGAGACACGGUCCAGACUCCUACGGGAGGCAGCAGUAGGGAAUCUUCCGCAAUGGGCGAAAGCUUGACGGAGCAACGCCGCGUGAGUGAUGAAGGUCUUCGGAUCGUAAAACUCUGUUAUUAGGGAAGAACAAAUGUGUAAGUAACUAUGCACGUCUUGACGGUACCUAAUCAGAAAGCCACGGCUAACUACGUG